GUAUGUGUUAUGGCAGCUACUUAGGUUUUGUAGCUCCUCUUACAACUCUGCAUCCGAUUGGCCGGAGAAGUCUGGAACAGGUCCAGGACGGACACUGAGAUAUGACUCAGGGAAACGGCAGUGAUCCUGAAAGAUGCCAGAAAUGGUGGGACGAGCUAGAGAAAGAUAACUGAGGACGUGUCCUUUAGAUAAGGAACAACAGAGAAAUUAUAUAUUUUGACAAGGCGUUAAGCAUUCGAUUAAAAACUGUCAUCAUUAAUUCAGCUGAUUGAUUGCUUAAUAUGUUUAAAUGGUUUUGUUUAAUCUAUAUGUUUGAUUUAAACAAAACUGAGAAAGCUACGAAAGAGCAACCUGGCUAAUCUGGCUAGUUGUGACUAGCUUCUCACCAUCAAGGAAAAGAACAGCUUGGAAGGAUUGGUUGACCAAAGCUGGUUGAAAUAGUUAAGAAGACUGAUGGGUGGAUCAGCAUUCCAUUCUUGAGCCCCAACACAUGCUGGUCACCAGGUGAGGAUUGAUGGGAUAGCGGAGAGCGAUCCAUCAUCUCAGGCAGGUGGCGCCGUAUCGGAAUUUGGGAAAUCUGUUCCCAAUCACACCUACAGGCUGGCGGCCCUGUAAGAAGACCCCCACCUCCACAAGCCCAGUACACUUCCCUUCCCUCAUCCGCGUGUCAGGAGCAGAAAUCAAUGCGAGCCACUCAAGGUCAAUACACUGUUGGAGAGCUCCCUCCGAGCUUUGAUGGAUACAUCCCGCUUGAAGAGAGUCAAAGCCAGGGAGAAUUGACAGGUUUUCCGUGCGAGCUGUUAAAGGGACAGUGAGCCUCAGAUGCUUGUCAUAGCGCUUGUCUGAUGUCAUUUAGACAACAGGCAUCUCCUCAAGACAGUCUCAGCAAUGCCAAUCUUGGCCCAGGUGCACAUUGUAUUGGAAAUCUGAUCAAAGUACAGGGCGCAGCUCCUUGGCCGAUACUCUUAUGGAUUACCUGAAAGUCACCUUGGUUUGAUUGGUCUGGGUGUUUGAAUUGCAUUCAGCUUGACAGCUUGAGACUCCUUCUUCAGUCCUUUCGAAACUCAACAGCUUUAGAAUCAUAAAGCGACAAC